UUACAUUUCCAAAAUUACAAUCAACGAUGUACAUAGGAGUCUAUGUUGCUGCCCUUCAAGCAAGAGAGAAAAGGGUUUCAAAUUGUACGUUGUGAGCUACAUUGACAAUUACAAAGAAAGGACGAUACAGGCCAAGAACGCCCAUCUCGCUGUGUGGACUGUAAGUUGUGUGUAAGCUGGGCCCCACUGGUCGGCCAGGACACCAUCUUCCUCUUCACUGCAGUGGGCCUCUAAAAGCAGGCGCUAUUCUAGGAGCAAGAUACUGGGGUAAAUGAAGAUAUACAGCUCCCAGGUCCAGCGGCUUCCUCAAGCAGGCUCCUUUGGGAGGUAAUUAAGAAAAACUCAACUGAGACACACACAGCAGCUGCUGAAAACAAGGCACUCAACACUUUUUUCUCUCUGCAUUACAAUAGC